AAAUCACUCCGCUUUCUACGUGUAGGCCUACACGCUAGGAAAAUGAUGAAAAUAACGCGAGGAAAACAUCGCAGCGUUAGUGAGAGUAAAAAUACCCGAAAUCGGUAUUAUUUUUCUUGCCACAAAGUAAACAAAAUGGGUUAUGGAAAAAACAAAUCAAAAUGACGAAAAUAACGGCAUAGAAAUUAAUCAUCUGCAACGAGAGAAGUAAAUACAUGUACAUGUACUUGCAAAUUUUGGCAAACGGUGGGAAAAUGACGGCAGCAAAAGAAAAUGAAAUUGACGAAAUUACGAGAAAAAAAAUCACACCAUAAUGAACAAAAUAUUUGUUUAGAAAAUGACUGAAUUUCAGUUAUAUACAGCGGCAUUUCAAAAACAUCAAAAUUGUUGGCAUUGUCGAGAAGUGCCUUCAAAAAGACCUAAUUGCCCCCCCCACACACACACACACCAAAAAAGUACACUGUGAAAGGUUACAACUUAUUGGCAACCUGCCAAUAUCGGCGUCGGCACAUGUUCGUGUGCAUUAUGACAAAAAAGAUCAUGUCUGUUUUUAAAAGUAAAUAGUGGAAACAUGGGUAGAAUCGUUUAGUUUUUAUUUGGUAACAAGUGGCCUUAUUACAGGUAGGCUUAUAGACAUAAUGCUUUGAAAUGUUUCACUUCAGUAACAAAUGGGCUAGGCCCAGUGUUUUCGUAACCCUGUUCACUUAGGAAAGAGUUGCAGCUUUCAACAAAGAAACUGAUGAUCUAAAAGUUGAGACUGCAUGGAUGAGCUAGGCUGCUUUGUCUGGACGAAAAUCAACCCUCCAAGGCUCCAACAGCCUCAUCAAACAGAAACUCGAGGAACCGGAAGCAGGGAGGAGGACCGACAGAUGAACGGAUGACCUGCUUGCUGGGCUACCCAUUACUGAUUCUUGAGAAAAAUGAGGACCACUGACUGAUGAGGGAAUUGCUUUACUGAGAUUGAUGAGCCUGCUUCAAGACAUCGUCAAGGCUCCAUCAGCCUUACCACACAGAAACUCGAGGAACCGGAAGCAGGGAGGAGGACCGACAGAUGAACGGAUGACCUGCUUGCUGGACUUCCCAUUACUGACUAUCAGAAAAAUGAGGACCACUGACUGAUGAGGGAGUUGCUCUACUGAGGCUCCAACAGCCUCAUCAAACAGAAACUCGAGAAACCGGAAGCAGGGAGGAGGACCGACAGAUGAACGGAUGACCUGCUUGUUGGGCUUCCCAUUCCUGAUUAUUAGAAAAAUGAGGACCACUGACUGAUGAGGGAAUUGCUUUACUGAGAUUGAUGAGCCUGCUUCAAGACAUCGUCAAGGCUCCAUCAGCCUUACCACACAGAAACUCGAGGAACCGGAAGCAGGGAGGAGGACCGACAGAUGAACGGAUGACCUGCUUGCUGGGCUUCCCAUUACUGACUAUCAGAAAAAUGAGGACCACUGACUGAUGAGGGAAUUGCUUUACUG